rnacentral:rRNA from 1 species
UACAGAGGGGGCUAGCGUUGUUCGGAAUCACUGGGUGUAAAGGGUGCGUAGGCUGUCCGUUAAGUCUGAUGUGAAAGCCCUGGGCUCAACUCAGGAAUUGCAUUGGAAACUGGCGGACUCAGAGUACCGGAGAGGGAAGCGGAAUUCCUGGUGUAGCGGUGGAAUGCGCAGAUAUCAGGAGGAACACCGAUGGCGAAGGCAGCUCGCUGGGACGGUACUGACGCUGAGGCGCGAAAGCGUGGGGAGCGAACAGG